AAGUCUUCUCUCACGGGCAAAGGUUUGACCAAUACCCAGAAUUAAACUCGAGAAAACUUCUAAAGAAUAAAUGUCAUCUGGGAGUAUACUAAUAAUCAGCAGAUAAAUAAAUGUCAUUUGGGAGUAUCCAAAUUUCCUUUUGUAUAUCCGAUCAUUAUUCUUUUAAAACCGAUCAUAUACAAUAUUACAACACUUACGAUAAUAUUAAAUAGAUCAAUUCUCCUAAAUAGAUCUAUUUAAGUUUAUGUUUCAAAAAUAGCUUCUCAAACUGGAAAUCAGAUUAAUAGCAUUCAUUAAUAGAUCAAAAGUCUAAACUACCCUCUUACUAAUAAAGCUUAAAACAGAAAAAGAGUCAAAGAUAUUUGACGUCUC
rnacentral:lncRNA from 1 species